CCUACGGGUGGCAGCAGUGGGGGAUAUUGCUCAAUGGACGGAACUCUGAUGCAGCCACGCCGCGUGAGGGAAGAAUGUUCUCGGAUUUUUAACCUCUGUCUUCGGUGACGAAACGAGACGGUAGCCUAGGAGGAUGCCACGGCUAACUACGUGCCAGCAGCCGCGGUAAUACGUAGGUGGCAAGCUUUGUCCGGAAUUACUGGGUGUAACGGGAGCGUAGGCGGGAAAGCAAGUUGAAUGUUUAAGGUACGGGCUCAACCUGUACAAGCGUUCAAAACUGUUUUUCUUGAGUGGAGUAGAGGUAAGCGGAAUUCGUAGUGUAGCUGUGAAAUGCGUAAAUAUUAGGAGGAACACCAGUGGCGAAGGCAGCUUACUGGGCUUUAACUGACGCUGAGGCUCGAAAGCGUGGGUAGCAAACAGGAUUAGAUACCCGAGUAGUC
rnacentral:rRNA from 1 species